AUUGAACGCUGGCGGCAUGCUUUACACAUGCAAGUCGAACGGUAACAGGCCUUCGGGUGCUGACGAGUGGCGAACGGGUGAGUAAUGCAUCGGAACGUACCCAGAGGUGGGGGAUAACGCAGCGAAAGCUGUGCUAAUACCGCAUGUGAUCUGCGGAUGAAAGCGGGGGACCGAGCAGCAAUGUUUGGCCUCGCGCCUUUGGAGCGGCCGAUGUCGGAUUAGCUAGUUGGUGGGGUAAAGGCCUACCAAGGCGACGAUCCGUAGCUGGUCUGAGAGGACGACCAGCCACACUGGGACUGAGACACGGCCCAGACUCCUACGGGAGGCAGCAGUGGGGAAUUUUGGACAAUGGGCGCAAGCCUGAUCCAGCAAUGCCGCGUGCGAGAAGAAGGCCUUCGGGUUGUAAACCGCUUUUGGCAGGAACGGAACGGUGUCCGCUAAUACCGGGCGCUAAUGACGGUACCUGCAGAAUAAGCACCGGCUAACUACGGGC
rnacentral:rRNA from 1 species